rnacentral:rRNA from 1 species
GGACGAACGCUGGCGGCGUGCUUAACACAUGCAAGUCGAACGAAGAGCGAUGGAAGCUUGCUUCUAUCAAUCUUAGUGGCGAACGGGUGAGUAACGCGUAAUCAACCUGCCCUUCAGAGGGGGACAACAGUUGGAAACGACUGCUAAUACCGCAUACGAUCUAAUCUCGGCAUCGAGGAAAGAUGAAAGGUGGCCUCUAUUUAUAAGCUAUCACUGAAGGAGGGGAUUGCGUCUGAUUAGCUAGUUGGAGGGGUAACGGCCCACCAAGGCGAUGAUCAGUAGCCGGUCUGAGAGGAUGAACGGCCACAUUGGGACUGAGACACGGCCCAGACUCCUACGGGAGGCAGCAGUGGGGAAUCUUCCGCAAUGGACGAAAGUCUGACGGAGCAACGCCGCGUGAGUGAUGACGGCCUUCGGGUUGUAAAGCUCUGUUAAUCGGGACGAAAGGCCUUCUUGCGAACAGUUAGAAGGAUUGACGGUACCGGAAUAGAAAGCCACGGCUAACUACGUG